rnacentral:rRNA from 1 species
CCUACGGGCGGCAGCAGUGGGGGAUAUUGCACAAUGGGGGAAACGCUGAUGCAGCGACGCCGCGUGAGUGAAGAAGUAUCUCGGUGUGUUAAGCUCCAUUAGCAGGGAAGAAAAAAGACGGUACCUGACUAAGAAGCCACUGCUAACUACGUACGAGCAGCCGCGGUAAUACGUAGGGGCCAAGCGUUAACCGGAUUUACUGGGUGUAAAGGGAGCGUAGGCGGGAAUACAAGUCGGAAGUGAAAUACCCGGGCUCAACCGGGGGACUGCGUUGGAAACUGUAUGGCUAGAGAGCUGGGGAGGUAGGCGGAAUGUGUGGUGUAGCGGUGAAAUGCGUAGAUAUUAUGAAGAACCCCGAUUGCGAAGGCAGCUUACUGGACAGUAACUGACGUUGAGGCUCGAAAGCGUGGGGAGCAAACAGGAUUAGAUACCCCAGUAGUC